GAUGAACGCUAGCUACAGGCUUAACACAUGCAAGUCGAGGGGAAACGACAUCGAAAGCUUGCUUUUGAUGGGCGUCGACCGGCGCACGGGUGAGUAACGCGUAUCCAACCUGCCCAUCACUUGGGAAUAACCUUGCGAAAGUAAGACUAAUACCCAAUGACAUCCCACGAAGACAUCUGAAUGGGAUUAAAGAUUUAUCGGUGAUGGAUGGGGAUGCGUCUGAUUAGCUUGUUGGCGGGGUAACGGCCCACCAAGGUAACGAUCAGUAGGGGUUCUGAGAGGAAGGUCCCCCACAUUGGAACUGAGACAAGGUCCAAACUCCUACGGGAGGCAGCAGUGAGGAAUAUUUGUAAAUGGGCGAGAGCCUGAACCAGCCAAGUAGCGUGCAGGAUGACCGCCCUAUGGGUUGUAAACUGCUUUUAUAAGGGAAUAAAGUGGGUAUCGUGAGACUUUUUGCAUGUACCUGAUGAAUAAGGACCGGCUAAUUCCGUG
rnacentral:rRNA from 1 species